AACCACACAUAAAACAGUCAACGCAGAAGGAGCGAGAACGUUCGGCCGAAAAGCCCGGCACAGAGAAGGGACGGGUGCUGAAAGCCGCGGACUGCAGCCGCUGGCCUGGCUGCCGCCCGGAAACAACGCCCACGCCCGGGAGAAGGGCAGGCUGGCGUCCAGGGCCGCGGCCAGAGGGCUAGAGUCCGCGCCUUCCGAGGGAGCCGCGCCCUGCGGGCCCCACCGUACCCGAGGGGAUGGAGGGCUGCCCCCGAGGCCCCCGCGCGGCUCGCGGUCCCACGCCUGCCGGCCCGCGCUAGCUACUCGACUCGUGCGCUAAAUUUAUCCGUCACCCAGGCCUUGUCUCCCGAGUCAUUGGCGUCGUGGUUCGAAAGAAAUGGAAGAAAAGGAGCGAUGUGACCGAUUGUGUUCGGUCCUCCUGCUUUGAGGCCUGGCAUUUGCAGAGGGAAACAGCAAGAAAAUCGUGGGGAUUUUGGAGGGGGGUGGGAGGGAAGGGUGGGGAAAC
rnacentral:sRNA from 1 species